rnacentral:tRNA from 1 species
CAGAGAUAAUAGAUUACUCCUAACCUGCUAAGUUAAGGAGUCUGCAGCUUGAUUCUGUGGUAUCUCUGA